UUGCUUUAUAAGUGUCUUCAAGGUCUCAGUCUGACUUAAAGAAACCAAAACUGGAGCUUCUGGAUGAUGCAUUAUGGGUGGUUUUGAAAGAAAGACUGCUUGGAACUCAGAUCAGCAGACCCCAACACAAAGAAAGGGCCUUGGCUCAACAUCAAAAGAGUGGCAAGUGAAUGAACAUCCAUAUGUUUUAGGUUAAAAUUAAAUCUUUAAGACUUGGGACUCAGCAUUCACCUGCAAGCUGCCUGACAAUUCAAAACCAGCAUUCCUCUUUUGGAGAGCUAUUUACAGUUCUAAAAAAUUCAGCCCAGGAGAUAGAAAGAGAGAGCAGUCCUAUGAAAUUGGCAUCUUUUGAUAAUUUCUACCUCAGAUGAAGAAUUUUCCAAAUACAACUGGACAUGGCACAAAGAGGAAAAAAAACUGGAAAACAACUUAAGCCCUCCAGCGCAGGGGGAGAAAUCAUUUUUCCUCUUUCUCUGGAUUUCCAUUUGGCUUCCUGGAAUUCAUUCAGUCUUCACCUUGGAGUCCCAGUGCUCCGCAGAAUGCCUGGCCCAUACUAAAUGCUGGACAAAUAUUGGUUGAAUGGGAUGCAUGAAAGUCAAGGAGAUGCGGGUGGAGCUGGCAGAGACCGUCCCCAUGACUUCCAAGGCUGCCCCUGCUUGCUGGGCAUGAGCUCCUGAGUCCCCUUCGGCAGCUGAACUUCAUUUGCCCCAGGCAGGAACACAUCCUGUCCCCAUCUCCAUCCCAGUCUCUUCCCACCUACUUCCCGAAGGCUUGGAUGAUUGUAUCAGCCACCACCACGUGACCAUCUGCUCCCAGCCUCUCCCUACUCCCCCACCCUCCCCUCUUCUAAGCCAUCUUUCUAAAGCAUUGUUUUGAUCCCAUUACAUUUCUGUUCUAACAUCUUUCCUGGUUCUCCAUCAUCUUCAGGAAAGAGACUCCUGAAGCUACAGUUUUCCAUCAAAGGCCCUUCACAACCCAUCUUUAUUUCCCUCUCUGGUUUCUUCUCAAAUCACUACCCUGGUCCCUCACCCCCAAUCCUUGCUCCACGUACCCCACACUCCAGCCAAAGGAAAAGCUCAAUGACGCCUGAGAACACCAUGCACUUUCCUGUCUUUUUGUCUUGCUCAUGCGGUUUCACGUGCACAGACUGUUUCUGCUUGCCUUGCCCAAGUAAUCGACUUUUAUUAAACCUGUGAGAGAGAUCAAACACUUCUCUGAACUUCUGUUUUCUCCAAGUCAAUUCCAUCCCUGCCUCAAACCCACAGAAUCAACGGCUCCUCAUCCAAACCACGUUAGCCCUUACAUGUACCACAUUCUACGGACUCAUUUUCACAUUCUCUCUCUCUCUCUCCCACCUCCCCCGAACCCCCGGACCCUAUC